CAGAGUUAAGCUAAUAAUGACUAUUUUCUACUUAAGGCAAAAGUCAAUACUUUGUAUUUAGCACUGCUUUAAAUUUUGACAUUUCUAGGUGAGGUGAAUCGAUUAUUUUCACCCUACCCUCGUCGUCCAGUUAAUCAACUAAGAAGAACUGGGCAUUUCCCUCCUUCACAAACUCCUAGACUGAAAAAAAAGUGUGUGUCAUACACGCACAGAUUCUUUUGCCUAGCCAAGAGGAAAGAUUCAGAAGUUCCAAAGGUGCCAGAAAAAUUUCAACUGGAGAGAGCAGGUCUUGGAGAAAAGAAAAUUAUUUUCUCUGACAAAUACUCUUCUUCGUCAGAGUUUAGUCAAGAACUCAUGCGCCAGUUCCCAAAACUAAGUGAAGCUGGUGGUUUUCAGCUUUUAAAGACGAGAGGCUGCACCAGGACAAAAAUUCUGGAACCUAUCCCAUGUCCAGAUGAAGGCUACUCUCCUGAAUAUUUGUGCUCUGAUGCAGUCGGUAUAGGAGCUGCAACAAUUUAUGUAAGACCCCUGCAAAAAGAUCUGAAUACAGAAGUUGCUGUAGGACAAGUGUCUGGAAAUGGGCCACCAGUGGUCUGUUUGUAUUGCAGCAAGAUUUUCCCAUUACCGGAGAUACAAGAACAUGUUGAUCGCUGUGAACUCAACAUGCAGGGCAGCUUUACUUGCAGCAGUACACCAGCAAGUAGUCCCAACACCCUACAUUAUGAGAGCAGAGCAGGUUGCAGCAACAGCAUUCCCAUUUAUCAGAGCAGCAACAGCAUUCCCAUUCUCGAAAGCAGCAGGAAGCAGCAACAGCUUUUCCAUUCUCGAAAGCAGCAGCAGAGCAGGUAGCAGCAACAGCCUUUCCAUUCCUGGAAGCAGCAGCAGAGCAGGAAGCAGCAACAGCUUUUCCAUUCACGAAAACAGCAGCAGCAGAGCAGGAAGCAGCAACAGCCUUUCCAUUCACGAAAACAGCAGCAGAGAAGGGAUCAUUCUUUCUGGUAGAGAGCAGGAGCAUCAAGAGGCCAGUGUAUCUGAGAUCUGUGCUGUAGUGGAAGAUUGGAAAAUCGAGAGUGAUGAAAAGCAAGCAGCAUACCAGUUUAGAAGAAAUUUAUUACAUGGAUCGGAGAACCAGACACCCCUUAAGGUUACACUAGAUCUAACCAGCAGUAUGGAAGACAGAGAUAGACAGUACCGAACCGAACUGACUGGGCAUCCCCACUAUCAAUCAACCUUAAAGGUGAUGCUGCAAUUGGGGAUGGCGUAACGCGUUACUACUUUGCAAUGCUUAUGUCCAGAAUACAAUACGGCUUCUUUUUAAAUAUUGAUAACACUGGAAAAAUGCUGUUCUUCAAUGGAGAAGAAGAUCACUUGGUACCAUCGUCCUCACGAGUUCUUCUGGACAGUGAUCUUGUUAAGGUCAUUGGUCGAAUGAUUGGCCACUCGUUCAUUCAUGGAGGGCCACUCUUGACAGGACUGAGCACCUCCAUGUUCAACCUACUUCUAGGAAGUGAUGAGCCAGCCAUCACAGACAUGAGAGACUGCCCAGACCAAGAUAUAAUCGAUAUUGUUUCUCUGCUUGAAGAGCCACGGAAUCUAACAGAUGUGGAACGAUACAAAGUGAAUGAUCUUGCUUUUAGCUGGGACUUGCCAACAUUAACUACAGAAAACCGGA